AAGAGCCCGGAGAUGGAUCCUGAGACACGAAUCCAGGCCNNACGGGGUGCAGCAGGCGCGAAAACUUUACAAUGCGGGAAACCGUGAUAAGGGAAUCUCGGGUGCCAGCAUAUAAUGUUGGCUGUCCAGAUGCCUAAAAAGCAUCUGUUAGCAAGGGCCGGGCAAGACCGGUGCCAGCCGCCGCGGUAACACCGGCGGCCCGAGUGGUAACCGCUUUUAUUGGGUCUAAAGGGUCUGUAGCCGGCCAAGUAAGUCCCUUGGGAAAUCUGGCAGCUUAACUGUCAGGCUGCUAGGGGAUACUGCUAGGCUUGGGACCGGGAGAGGUGAGAGGUACCUUGGGGGUAGGGGUGAAAUCUUGUGAUCCUCGGGGGACCACCAGUGGCGAAGGCGUCUCACCAGAACGGGUCCGACGGUAAGGGACGAAAGCUAGGGGCACGAACCGGAUUAGAUACCCGGGUAGUCCUAGCCGUAAACGAUGCUCGCUAGGUGUCAGUCACGGUGCGACCGUGAUUGGUGCCGUAGGGAAGCCGUGAAGCGAGCCACCUGGG
rnacentral:rRNA from 1 species